UUUUUUUUUUUUUUUUUUUUUUAUUAUUUUUUUAAAAAAAAAAGUGUUAUAAAUUU
rnacentral:ribozyme from 1 species